rnacentral:tRNA from 1 species
GGGAAGAUGGCUUAGUGGUAGAGCGCUUGACUUGCAUUGAAGCCCUGGGUUCAAUUCCUAUUGAACCCA